rnacentral:tRNA from 2 species
GCCGGUUUAGCUCAGUUGGUAGAGCAGCUGAUUUGUAAUCAGAAGGUCGCUGGUUCGAUUCCGGCAACCGGCACCA